rnacentral:rRNA from 1 species
UACGUAGGGUGCAAGCGUUAUCCGGAAUUAUUGGGCGUAAAGAGCUCGUAGGCGGUUUGUCGCGUCUGCUGUGAAAACUGGAGGCUCAACCUCCAGCCUGCAGUGGGUACGGGCAGACUAGAGUGCGGUAGGGGGAGAUUGGAAUUCCUGGUGUAGCGGUGGAAUGCGCAGAUAUCAGGAGGAACACCGAUGGCGAAGGCAGAUCUCUGGGCCGUAACUGACGCUGAGGAGCGAAAGCAUGGGGAGCGAACAGG